CUCCUACGGGAGGCAGCAGUGGGGAAUAUUGCACAAUGGGGGAAACCCUGAUGCAGCGACGCCGCGUGAAGGAAGAAGUAUCUCGGUAUGUAAACUUCUAUCAGCAGGGAAGAUAGUGACGGUACCUGACUAAGAAGCCCCGGCUAACUACGUGCCAGCAGCCGCGGUAAUACGUAGGGGGCAAGCGUUAUCCGGAUUUACUGGGUGUAAAGGGAGCGUAGACGGACUGGCAAGUCUGAUGUGAAAGGCGGGGGCUCAACCCCUGGACUGCAUUGGAAACUGUUAGUCUUGAGUGCCGGAGAGGUAAGCGGAAUUCCUAGUGUAGCGGUGAAAUGCGUAGAUAUUAGGAGGAACACCAGUGGCGAAGGCGGCUUACUGGACGGUAACUGACGUUGAGGCUCGAAAGCGUGGGGAGCAAACAGGAUUAGAUACCCUGGUAGUCCGCACGGUAAACGAUGGAUGCCCGCUGUUGGUCUGAAUAGGUCAGCGGCCAAGCGAAAGCAUUAAGCAUCCCACCUGGGGAGUACGCCGGCAACGGUGAAACUCAAAGGAAUUGACGGGGGCCCGCACAAGCGGAGGAACAUGUGGUUUAAUUCGAUGAUACGCGAGGAACCUUACCCGGGCUUGAAUUGCAGAGGAAGGAUUUGGAGACAAUGACGCCCUUCGGGGCCUCUGUGAAGGUGCUGCAUGGUUGUCGUCAGCUCGUGCCGUGAGGUGUCGGCUUAAGUGCCAUAACGAGCGCAACCCCUCUCCUUAGUUGCCAUCAGGUCAUGCUGGGCACUCUGGGGACACUGCCACCGUAAGGUGUGAGGAAGGUGGGGAUGACGUCAAAUCAGCACGGCCCUUACGUCCGGGGCUACACACGUGUUACAAUGGCAGGUACAGAGAGACGGUCCCUUGCAAAACGGAUCAAAUCCUUAAAGCCUGUCUCAGUUCGGACUGGGGUCUGCAACCCGACCCCACGAAGCUGGAUUCGCUAGUAAUCGCGCAUCAGCCAUGGCGCGGUGAAUACGUUCCCGGGCCUUGUACACACCGC
rnacentral:rRNA from 1 species